UACAGAGGGGGCAAGCGUUGUUCGGAAUUACUGGGCGUAAAGGGCGCGUAGGCGGCCCGCUAAGUCGAACGUGAAAUCCCUGGGCUCAACCCGGGAACUGCGUCCGAUACUGGCAGGCUUGAAUCCGGGAGAGGGAUGCGGAAUUCCAGGUGUAGCGGUGAAAUGCGUAGAUAUCUGGAGGAACACCGGUGGCGAAGGCGGCAUCCUGGACCGGCAUUGACGCUGAGGCGCGAAAGCCAGGGGAGCAAACGGG
rnacentral:rRNA from 1 species